CAGCUAUCCCAGUAGAACUGUAGUAAAUCUUAGGGACUGGGCUGUUAUGGGUCACGUGGAAAUUAGGAGAAGGGCCAAUAGAGCCUGGAAAUCCUGGUGGUCCAAUUUCACCCUUUUAAGAAAAAGCAGAAGAAAGUUUUUGCAGGAGGCCAGGUUAUUACAAAACAUUGAGUAUCGUUCCUGCAUUUUGUUUUUCUUGACAAUGGCAUGUUCCCACUGAAUCCAAGGUCAUCCCAACUGCAGGAUUGAACAGGAGUGAAACAUCUUUUUGACCAGGCAAGGGCAUCUGUCAUCUUCACAGCUAAUAUAAUUAAACCCGUGAAUGAUGAUGAGAAGGCAGUGCGAAUUCGUCAGUAUUUUAACUGUAAAGCUAUUUUGAAAUAAUUAUUUGGUUAAACCGAGACUGUACAUGAUAAAACCCCACCCAAAAAUGCUCCCAUGAUAGUUUAUGUUUGGACGCUUAAGAAAACACAAAAAUAGCGAGCCUCGGGCAUCGCGUCAAAGGGCCUUUCAGAUGGUUUUUGCCGUCUACAUGGAUCCAUGAAACAUCUAAUUAAAAACCGAAACCUGUGUCCUAAUUUCAUUUACCUGUGACAGCUA